UGAUAUAGGGGAUUAAGAUGAAGUAGUCUGCAGUGCUUGCACUAUGCAGACUACUUCAGUUUAAGACCCGAACAUACAUGAGGAAGUAGCGCGGCAGCGCGGAUUCCGAAUGUAUGUAGCAUGUCGAGAGCGCAAGCGGAGACAUGCGUAUAUCA
rnacentral:sRNA from 1 species